rnacentral:rRNA from 1 species
AUUGAACGCUGGCGGAAUGCUUUACACAUGCAAGUCGAACGGCAGCACGGGGGCAACCCUGGUGGCGAGUGGCGAACGGGUGAGUAAUACAUCGGAACGUGCCCGGUCGUGGGGGAUAACGUAGCGAAAGUUACGCUAAUACCGCAUACGAUCUGAGGAUGAAAGCGGGGGACCUUCGGGCCUCGCGCGAUCGGAGCGGCCGAUGUCAGAUUAGGUAGUUGGUUGGGUAAAGGCCUACCAAGCCGACGAUCUGUAGCUGGUCUGAGAGGACGACCAGCCACACUGGGACUGAGACACGGCACAGACGCCUACGGGAGGCAGCAGUGGGGAAUUUUGGACAAUGGGCGCAAGCCUGAUCCAGCCAUUCCGCGUGCAGGACGAAGGCCUUCGGGUUGUAAACUGCUUUUGUAUGGAACGAAAAGGCUCUGGCUAAUACCUGGGGCUCAUGACGGUACCGUAAGAAUAAGCACCGGCCAACUACGUG